rnacentral:rRNA from 1 species
CGUAUCACCCAAGACAACUUUGCGGAGUUGACGAUUGACGGAGCGAAGCGACGUCAAAGCGUUCAUUAAAGUCGAGUUGGCUUAGGGAUACGUUCGUUGGGUAGGGGAGCGUUCUGUAAGCCUGUGAAGGUGGCCUGUGAGGGUUGCUGGAGGUAUCAGAAGUGCGAAUGCUGACAUAAGUAACGAUAAAGCGGGUGAAAAGCCCGCUCGCCGGAAGACCAAGGGUUCCUGUCCAACGUUAAUCGGGGCAGGGUGAGUCGACCCCUAAGGCGAGGCCGAAAGGCGUAGUCGAUGGGAAACGGGUUAAUAUUCCCGUACUUGGUGUUACUGCGAAGGGGGGACGGAGAAGGCUAUGUUGGCCGGGCGACGGUUGUCCCGGUUUAAGCGUGUAGGUGUGUGUUCCAGGUAAAUCCGGUUCACUUUAACACUGAGGCGUGACGACGAGGCACUACGGUGCUGAAGCAACAAAUGCCCUGCUUCCAGGAAAAGCCUCUAAGCAUCAGGUAACAUCAAAUCGUACCCCAAACCGACACAGGUGGUCAGGUAGAGAAUACCAAGGCGCUUGAGAGAACUCGGGUGAAGGAACUAGGCAAAAUGGUGCCGUAA